rnacentral:rRNA from 1 species
AAAAACUUUAUCACAAUCGCUUGGCAACACGCGAUAAGUGAACCUCGGGUGCCAGGUUAAAACGGGCUGUCGAGAUGCCUAAAAAGCAUUUCAUAGCAAGGGGGGGGCAAGACCGGUGCCAGCCGCCGCGGUAACACCGGCGGUUCGGGUGGUAACCGUUAUUAUUGGGUCUAAAGGGUCUGUAGCCGGCCGGAUAAGUCUCUUGGGAAAUCUGGCAGCUUAACUGUCAGGUUUUCAGGAGAUACUUUUUUUUUUUCGGGGCCGGGAGAAGUGAGAGGCCUUCAGGGGUGGGGGGGGAAAAUCUUGUAAUCCUUGAAGAACCACCAGGGGGGGAAGGGGUUCUCCCCAGAACGGACUUUUUUGGCAAGGGACAAAAGCUAGGGCCCCUAUUCCGGAUUAGAACCCGGGUAGUCCUAGCCGUAAACAAUCCUCCCUAGGGUUCGGCCACGGGGCGACCGUUUUCGGUGCCUUGGGGAAGCCGUGAAACGGCCCCUUGGGAA